rnacentral:rRNA from 1 species
UAGAGUUUGAUCCUGGGUCAGAACGAACGCUGGCGGCAGGCUUAACACAUGCAAGUCGAGCGCCCCGCAAGGGGAGCGGCAGACGGGUGAGUAACGCGUGGGAAUCUACCCAUCUCUACGGAAUAACGCAUGGAAACGUGUGCUAAUACCGUAUACGUCCUUCGGGAGAAAGAUUUAUCGGAGAUGGAUGAGCCCGCGUUGGAUUAGCUAGUUGGUGGGGUAAAGGCCUACCAAGGCGACGACCCUACGGGAGGCAGCAGUGGGGAAUAUUGGACAAUGGGCGCAAGCCUGAUCCAGCCAUGCCGCGUGAGUGAUGAAGGUCCUAGGGUUGUAAAGAUCUUUCACCGGUGAAGAUAAUG